GGGUGGAUAGCUCAGGUGGUUAGAGCACCAGCCUUACAAGCUGGGGGUCACAGGUUCGAAUCCUGUUCCACCCC
rnacentral:tRNA from 1 species